GCCUUUCAAACCACAAACUAAUACAUAAAGGCUUCUGAAAGUUGUCACUCCGAUUUCCUCAGAUCUUGAAAAAAUACUUUUUUUUUUUUUUUUUUUUUUUUUCCCAGUUCUUAAUUAUUUUUAAUUAUUUUUAAUGGUGGUGAAAUCUAGUCAUGAGACAUACCUAAGACUAGUCUGCAAAGGUUUCUUCUCCACCAGGCACUUGUAAGUGUGAAUGGGUUGCUGAGGAGCAAAUCAAAGGAAGGUUGUGUCCCUGCUCUUCAAUAGCUUCUCCAGGGCUGUGUAAAAUCUUACUACCAUGGUCAGCUACAUUUGACUUUCACUGAAGUAUGAACGAGAUGGAGGACCUCUCUGGUUGUAUGCAUCUGAGAGCAUAGCCUGAAAUGGAU
rnacentral:lncRNA from 1 species